AACUGGCAGGCUAGAGUCUUGUAGAGGGGGGUAGAAUUCCAGGUGUAGCGGUGAAAUGCGUAGAGAUCUGGAGGAAUACCGGUGGCGAAGGCGGCCCCCUGGACAAAGACUGACGCUCAGGUGCGAAAGCGUGGGGAGCAAACAGGAUUAGAUACCCUGGUAGUCCACGCUGUAAACGAUGUCGAUUUGGAGGUUGUGCCCUUGAGGCGUGGCUUCCGGAGCUAACGCGUUAAAUCGACCGCCUGGGGAGUACGGCCGCAAGGUUAAAACUCAAAUGAAUUGACGGGGGCCCGCACAAGCGGUGGAGCAUGUGGUUUAAUUCGAUGCAACGCGAAGAACCUUACCUGGUCUUGACAUCCACAGAACUUUCCAGAGAUGGAUUGGUGCCUUCGGGAACUGUGAGACAGGUGCUGCAUGGCUGUCGUCAGCUCGUGUUGUGAAAUGUUGGGUUAAGUCCCGCAACGAGCGCAACCCUUAUCCUUUGUUGCCAGCGGUUAGGCCGGGAACUCAAAGGAGACUGCCAGUGAUAAACUGGAGGAAGGUGGGGAUGACGUCAAGUCAUCAUG
rnacentral:rRNA from 1 species